rnacentral:rRNA from 1 species
UACAACUCUCGGCAACGGAUAUCUCGGCUCUUGCAUCGAUGAAGAACGCAGCGAAAUGCGAUAAGUGGUGUGAAUUGCAGAAUCCCGUGAACCAUCGAGUCUUUGAACGCAAGUUGCGCUCGAGGCCGUCAGGCUAAGGGCACGCCUGCCUGGGCGUUGUGU